rnacentral:rRNA from 1 species
CGGUGGGGGAUGACGGCCUUCGGGUUGUAAACCUCUUUCACCAUCGACGAAGGCCGGGUUUUCUCGGAUUGACGGUAGGUGGAGAAGAAGCACCGGCCAACUACGUGC